CCUACGGGUGGCAGCAGUGGGGGAUAUUGCACAAUGGGGGAAACCCUGAUGCCGCGACGCCGCGUGUGGGAAGACGGUCUUCUGGAUUGUAAACCACUGUCCCCAGGGACGAAAAUGACGGUACCUGGGGAGGAAGCUCCGGCUAACUACGUGCCAGCAGCCGCGGUAAUACGUAGGGAGCAAGCGUUGUCCGGAGUUACUGGGUGAAAAGGGAGCGUAGGCGGGGAUGCAAGUUGGGUGUCAAAACUACCGGCUCAACCGAUAGUCGCACUCAAAACUGCAGCUCUUGAGUGAAGUAGAGGCAGGCGGAAUUCCUAGUGUAGCGGUGAAAUGCGUAGAUAUUAGGAGGAACACCAGUGGCGAAGGCGGCCUGCUGGGCUUUUACUGACGCUGAGGCUCGAAAGUGUGGGGAGCAAACAGGAUUAGAUACCCGUGUAGUC
rnacentral:rRNA from 1 species